rnacentral:lncRNA from 1 species
AUGGAUGAGUUCACAGCAUCCACUCCUGCAGACCUGGGAGAAGCUGGUGGCCUCAGAAAAAAGGCCAAUAUCGCAACUGCUAAGACCACUACUAGAUUCCGACCUACUAAUGUUAAAUCCAAAAAGGAUGUUAAGCUUGAAUUUUUUGGUUUUGAAGAUCAUGAUGAGACAAGAGGUGAUGAAAGAGGCUCUGGAAGUUCUAAUUACAAAAUAAAGUGUUUUGGUUUUGAUGAUCUUAGUGAAAGUGAAGAUGAUGACAAUGAUGACUGUCAAGUGGAAGGAAAGGCCAACAAAAAAAGAACUAAAACAGCUCCAUCACACUCCUUGCAGCCUCCCCCAGAAAGCAAUGAUAAUUCCCAGGACAGUCAGUGUAGUGCUAGUAACACAGAGGACUUGCCUGGUGUGCCUGCAAGUGUGAAGAAGCCCAUAAGUAAACAAGGAGAUAAAUCAAAGGAAAAUACCAGAAAGAUUUUUAGUGGCCCUAAAUGGUCACCUACAAAAGCCGUGUGUAAUGCUAGACAUUAGAACCAUCCAGACUCAGAAGAACUACCUGGGCCACCAGUUGUAAAACCUCAGAAUGUCACAGUGAGGCUAUCUUCAAAGGAACCAAAUCAAAAAGAUGAUGGAAUUUUUAAGGCUCCCACACCACCACUCAAAGUGAUAAAAACUGUGACACUACCUACUCAGCCCUACCAAGAUAUAGUUAUUGCCCUGAAAUGCAGAAAAGAAGACAAAGAAUUAUAUACCAUUGUUCAGCACGUGAAGCACUUCGACAAUGUGGUGGAAUUUGGUGAGAAUCAAGAGUUCACUAAUGACACUGAGUACUCGUGAAGUGGCUUAAAGAGCACUCAGCCUCUGAACACACGUUGCCUUAGUGUUAUUAGCUUGGCUACUAAAUGUGCCAUGCCCAGCUGCCAAAUGUACCUGAGAGCACAUGGAAUGGAUGCAAUGGUCUUUAAAACUUUGGAUGAUUCCCAGCACCACCGGAACCUGUCCCUCUGUACAGCUGCCCUCAUGUACAUCCUGAGUCAGGACCACUUGAAUGUGCAUCUUGACAGAGCUAGCUUAGAUCUCAUGAUCUGACUUCUGGAGCUGGAACAGGACGCAUCAUCAGCUAAGCUGCUGAAUGAGAAGACAUGAACAAAAUUAAAGAGAAAAUCUGGAGACUCUGUGAAACUGUACACAAUAAGCAUCUUGAUCUAGAAAACAUAAUAACUGGGCAUUUACUGAUGGAGAUGUUGCUGUCCCUUCUAAACGAGCAGGAGACUGGUUUAAAGAAGUACUCCAGCUUUGGGGCAGUCUGGAUCAUAUUGUAGAUAAAGUCAAAGAGUGUGUGGAUCAUUUAAGUAGAGAUGAGGAUGAAGAAAAAUUGGUAACCUCGUUAUGGGGAGCAGAGAGAUGUUUACGAGUUUUAGAAAGUGUAACAGUGCAUAAUCCAGAGAAUCAAAGCUUACUUGAUAGCAUAUAGAGAUUCACAACUCAUUAUUUCAUCAGCUAAAGCACUACAGAUUGUGAGGAACUGAUCCAGCAGUAUAAUCAUGCUGAGAACAGCAUCUGCGUGGCCGACAGCAAGCCUCUGCCUCCCCAGAAUGUGACUUGCCACAUGGGCAAGGAGGUGGAGGACUGCAUAUGGGCCAUCACUGGGGUGCUGCUCAACCUCACCAACGACAAUGAGUGGGGCAGCACCAAAACAGGGGAACAGAAUGGCCUCAUUGGCAUAGCCAUGAACCGUGUGCUGUGAGUCCUGAAGUACCUACUUCAGGAGCAGAGAUUCGACCUUCAGAUGCUGGGCUUGAGUCUACUGAUAAAUCUAGUGGAGUACAGCGCUCAGAACUGGCACUGCCUCGUCAACAUGGAAACGUCGUGUUCCUUUGAUUCUUCUUUCUGCAGCAGAGAGGAAAAUGAUAGCUUAAAGGUAGCUGGGCAAGUUCAUGCCGUGCAGGCUUUAGUGCAGCUAUUCCUUGAGUGAGAGCGAGCACCCAAUUGGCAGAAAGUAAAACAGAUGAGUUGAUCAAAGAUGCACCCACCACUCAGCAUGCUAAGAGUGGACAGUGGUGAGAGACCAGUGGGGAAAUACAGUGGGUGUCAACUGAGAAGACAGACAGUGCAGAAGAGAAACACAAGAAGGAGGAGGACGAUGAAGAACUUGACCUCAAUAAAGCCCUGCAGCAUGCUGGCAAGCACAUGGAGGACUGCGUCAUGGCCCCCUACACAGCGCUACUUCUCGGCUGUCUCUGCCAGGAAAGCCCAAUCAAUGUCACCCCUGUGCGGGAAUACCUGCCAGAAGGAGACUUCUCCAUAAUGACAGAGAUGCUCAAAAUAUUCCUAAGCUUCAUGAAUCUUACUUGUGCUGUUGGGAUGACAGGCCAGAAGUCCAUUUCCAGAGUGACUUGAGUAUUUGGAACACUGCUAGCUGCUUUACCUUUGCUUCAGGUGCUCAGGAAUGCUGGAGCUACCCUUAGACAAACAAAAAUCAUGAGAGAUCCUUGAAGAGAAAUCAAGAGCAUUCAUCAGGAUUUUACAACCACCUGAUUUCUUCAUCAUGCAUUCUGCAUUUUCUCAGUG